rnacentral:tRNA from 1 species
GUGUAGCUCGGUGGUAGAGCAUUUGCUUAGAAUGCAAAAAGCCUGAGGUUCAUUCCCCAGCAC